GUGGGGAAUUUUGGACAAUGGGCGCAAGCCUGAUCCAGCAAUGCCGCGUGUGUGAAGAAGGCCUUCGGGUUGUAAAGCACUUUUGGCAGGAAAGAAAUAGUGCGUGCUAAUACCAUGCGCGAAUGACGGUACCUGCAGAAUAAGCACCGGCUAACUACGUGCCAGCAGCCGCGGUAAGACGUAGGGUGCAAGCGUUAAUCGGAAUUACUGGGCGUAAAGCGUGCGCAGGCGGUUUUGUAAGACAGGUGUGAAAUCACCGGGCUCAACCUGGGAACUGCGCGUGUGGCUGCAAGGCUAGGGUGUGUCAGAGGGAGGUGGAAUUCCGCGUGUAGCAGUGAAAUGCGUAGAGAUGCGGAGGCACACCGAUGGCGAAGGCAGCCUCCUGGGAUAACACUGACGCUCAGGCACGAAAGCGUGGGGAGCAAACAGGAUUAGAUACCCUAGUAGUCC
rnacentral:rRNA from 1 species